AUUGAACGCUGGCGGCAGGCCUAACACAUGCAAGUCGAACGGUAGCACAGAGAGCUUGCUCUCGGGUGACGAGUGGCGGACGGGUGAGUAAUGUCUGGGAAACUGCCCGAUGGAGGGGGAUAACUACUGGAAACGGUAGCUAAUACCGCAUAACGUCGCAAGACCAAAGAGGGGGACCUUCGGGCCUCUUGCCAUCGGAUGUGCCCAGAUGGGAUUAGCUUGUAGGUGAGGUAACGGCUCACCUAGGCGACCAUCCCUAGCUGGUCUGAGAGGAUGACCAGCCACACUGGAACUGAGACGCGGUCCAGACUCCUACGGGAGGCAGCAGCCG
rnacentral:rRNA from 1 species